rnacentral:lncRNA from 1 species
GUGACAGAACACUAGCAUAGUUCAGGAACAUUUCUGCAGGUCCAGCUAGAAGUAAAAGUGGCUGGCAGAGACUCCAUAACAAAAAAGAGCAGCAUGGUAGGCAAUGCAGUGGAAAGACAUUCACAUCCUAACAGAAUAUGCUGUGGGAGACAGAGCAGAAAGUCCUGCAACAAUCAAUCUACUCCUCUCCACUCAUCUACAAGCUGCCUGGCUGAAUGCCUGGAACUGAAGCCACAGGAGAUGUGAAAAGGUGGAAGAGAACACACAGGAAAAAAAGAAAGAAGAAAAAAGGAGGGAUGGUUUCAGGUGAACAGUUUCAAAUGAAUUAGUCUAAUGACAGUUGCCUCCAGUCAGGCUAUGAAAAACAUAAAGAUCAGAACAGAGGAAAAGGAGUGCCUCAUGGCAAUGCAGUCUGCUCCUUGCAGAUGGGGUGGCAAAGGUUUGUAAUUGAAACUGUGUUAUUGUGUUCUUUGUAUCUGUUGUAGUUUAUAUGGAAAUUAAUAGGGAGGUGUUACUAUUGGAGCAGGAUGGGCAUGAGCCAGCAAUGUACCUCUGAAGCAAAGAGGUUCAAUGCUAUCCUAGUCUGCAUUAGGAGAAAUGCUACCAGCAGAAAAAGGGAAGUGAUGGUAUUGGUGCUCUGCCCAAUACUGAUGAAGACACACUCGGAGUGAACGGUCCAAUGAAUGACUAUUUAAAAGUUGUCUGAAAAUGUUCCUGGGUAUGCAGCCCUAUCAUGCUAGAGAAGGGAGGUUGGACCAAAUGACCACCAGAUGUCCCUUUCAACCUCAGCUAACCUAUGAUACCAGGAUUCUCUAGCAUAUAUUAGGUAUGAAAUAGUUCUUAUGCGGGAGGAGGGGAUGAGAAUACUUUAACCCUGAGGAUAUAUUUUAAUAAAUAAAUAAAUAAAAAGAAGGAACA